rnacentral:tRNA from 1 species
GGAUUGGGGCUCAGUGGUAGAGUGCUUGCUUGCCUAGCACGCGUGAGGCCCUGGGUUCGAUCCUCAGCACCA